rnacentral:sRNA from 1 species
AUUUCCUUAAAUGCCUUAAAGCUAGUAGUUGCAAACUUGGGAUAUGAACUUGCUUCUGUCUGUCUUGAAAGUCUGUUCUCAUAACCAUUUUACCAUGUUGUCGUGUUUUCGAGUAGGGCAAAAUGGUUAAAGGAAAAAGAAAAGGAUAAAUAUCUUUGGAGUCAUCCUACGCACUGGUAUUAUAAAGAUGAAUGAGACAUGAUCCUUAUUGUCUAGCAAGAGAGACAAACACCCAUUUUCUAAGCACAAUAAUAGAGAUAAGGAGAAUUCAGAGAUGUCAUGUGACUUCUGGGUUUCUUUUUUUUUUUCCUGAGACAGAGUCUUGCACUGUCACCCAGGCUGGAGUGCAAUGGCACAAUCUCGGCUCACUGCAGCCUCCGCCAGGUUCAAGCUAUUCUUCUGCCCCAGCCUCCCUACUACCUGGGAUUACAGGUGCCUGCCACCAUGUCUGGCUAAUUUUUUGUAUUUUUAGUAGAGACGGGUUUUCACUAUGUUGGCCAGGCUGGUCUCGAACUCAUGACCUUCUGAUCCACCUGCCUCUGUCUUCCAAAGUGCUGGGAUUACAGGCUUGAGCCACCACACCCGGUCAAAUUCUGAGUUUCUUGAAAAAUAAACAGUGUUUUCAGGGAGAGGAGAAAGUGUGGAUAAGCCAUGGAAAGGGUCUGAUAUUUAUUUGAAGUACAUUAUCUGAUGGGCAGAGGUAGGAGAUGAAACAGUUUGGGGCCAGAUUAGGCCAAAUUAAGAAGGACCUGGAUUGGUAUGAGAAAAUUUUUUUCUAAUAUCCAGUAUUAGUUAUUGUAAAUGCAAUAAUUAAAACCUGGCUAUGGCCAGGCACUGUGGCUCACGCCUGUAAACCAGGCACUUUGAAAGGCUGAGGUGGGAGGAUUGCCUGAGCCCAGGAGUUUGAGACCAGCCAGGGCAGCAAAGUGAGAUCCUGUCUCUACAAAAAAAAAAAAAAAAAUUAGCUGGGUGUGGUGGCUUAUGCCUGUAGUCCUGGUACUUGGGAGGCUGAGGUGAGAAGAUCCUUUGAGCCUAGGAGUUCGAGCCUACAGUGAGCUGUGAUCAUAGCACUGCAUUCUAGCCUAGGUGACAGAGAGAGACCCUGUCUCAAAAAAAAAAAAAAAAAAAAAAAAAACCCAACACUUGGCUACAACCUUAGUUAAGCUAUUUUCAUAUUGCAUUUUGGGCUUUAUAAGAAUAAAGUGUCCAUCAAGAAAUUUCUGAACAAGCAUCAUUUAUUAUGUCAUAAACAGGAGCCCUAAGCAGUGUCAGAUGACAGUACUUAAGGAUGGAUAGACAAUAGAGAGAUUGCAGUAAUUUGUUUUAAGGAACACAAAGAUGGUGUUGUGUUGAGCAGUUUUAAAUGUUUCGGGCAUUGUUCUCAUUUUACUGCUUAAAUAAGCAGUAUUUUAAAUUUGUAUAUUAAAAAGCAGUAUUUUAAAUUUGUAUAUUAAAAAGCAGUAUUUUAAAUUUGUAUAUGCAGCAGUUUUUUAUAGCUAUGUAUAAGUGCCUUUAAACUCAAUAACCUUUUUUUCCCCCUAUUCAAUAGUGAAUUGAAUGCAGGAAUUAUAAAAACAGAUCAAAACUAUGAGAAGAUGAUGUUUAAAGAAGCUUUGAAAACAGGGUUUUUUGAGUUUCAGGUAGGCUGUUGAUUCUUCUGGUAGCUAUAAAACAUGUCAAUGUGAACAUUAUGUAUUUUCCCCCUUUUUUCUUCCUGCUAUAGCACAAUUACUCGCCCAAAGUGUAGACUGAAAAUCCUGCCAGAAAAAUUUUAAAUUCUUCAAUAAAUUGUGAUUUUGAGUUAUUAUCUUUGGUAUUUUUUCUAUUGUGUCCAUUUAAUUUAAUAAUUCUGCUCCUAGUUAAGCUAUGAGCAUUAAUAUAAAGGAGAUUAAAUCUAAAAUUCAGCUAUACUUUCCAGGAAAACAUUUCAAAAUUGAUAAAAACGAAGGCAAAAUUGUAAUUAAUUGCCAUUAGUUUGAGAGCAAGUGUUUUCUGAGGUUUUCCACAAGGUGUCAGUAUUUCCUCAAGUUUGGCAUUUAAAGUGCUUAAAGUAAAAAUGUAGCUUUACGCAAUGAGCUAUGUAAAAUAUCACAUUGAGAUUUAUAUAACUUGGUUUUCAGAGAUGUGGUUAAAUAAGGAUAAAUGGCUGAGCAUAGCAAUGUGUUGUAUUUAUAGUCUUUUUUUAUAUUUAAUAUCCUAUAUGCUGCUAAGAGCAGUCACCCUUAAUAUACAGUUAAAGUUGUUCAACUUUUAUGUCUCAGUUACAAACUGUCUGUAAAAAAAUUCUUUUUUUGAGAAUUAUUAGUAUAAAACUGCCAUGUACUUUGGACAAAGAUAAAUACUUGCAGAUUCUUAAAGUAAAACAUUUACAGUAAUUUGUUGUGGAUUUUUAAAAGACUAGAAACUUAAAAAUGUAUUAAAACCAAGAUACUGAAAUUUUUCCCUUUAUUUUUAUUUUAAAGAAGGUGAGGGAAAUGGUAAAUAAUUUCAAAUUUUGUAGGCCGCAAAAGAUAAGUACCGUGAAUUGGCAGUGGAAGGGAUGCACAGAGAACUUGUGUUCCGGUUUAUUGAAGUUCAGACACUUCUCCUCGCUCCAUUCUGUCCACAUUUGUGUGAGCACAUCUGGACACUCCUGGGAAAGCCUGACUCAAUUAUGAAUGCUUCAUGGCCUGUGGCAGGUCCUGUGGAUGAAGUUUUAAUACACUCCUCACAGUAUCUCAUGGAAGUAACACAUGACCUUAGACUACGACUCAAGAACUAUAUGAUGCCAGCUAAAGGGAAGAAGACUGACAAACAACCCCUGCAGAAGCCCUCACAUUGCACCAUCUAUGUGGCAAAGAACUAUCCACCUUGGCAACAUACCACCCUGUCUGUUCUACGUAAACACUUUGAGGCCAAUAACAGAAAACUGCCUGACAACAAAGUCAUUGCUAGUGAACUAGGCAGUAUGCCAGAACUGAAGAAAUAUAUGAAGAAAGUCAUGCCAUUUGUUGCCAUGAUUAAGGAAAAUCUGGAGAAGAUGGGGCCUCGUAUUCUGGAUUUGCAAUUAGAAUUUGAUGAAAAGGCUGUGCUUAUGGAGAAUAUAGUCUACCUGACUAAUUCCCUUGAGCUAGAACACAUAGAAGUCAAGUUUGCCUCCGAAGCAGAAGAUAAAAUCAGGGAAGACUGCUGUCCUGGGAAACCACUUAAUGUUUUUAGAAUAGAACCUGGUGUGUCCAUUUCUCUAGUGAAUCCCCAGCCAUCCAAUGGCCACUUCUCAACCAAAAUUGAAAUCAGGCAAGGAGAUAACUGUGAUUCCAUAAUCAGGCGUUUAAUGAAAAUGAACCGAGGAAUUAAAGACCUUUCCAAAGUGAAACUGAUGAGAUUUGAUGAUCCACUGUUGGGGCCUCGACGAGUUCCUGUCCUGGGAAAAGAGCAUACCGAGAAGACCCCCAUUUCUGAGCAUGCUGUUUUCAAUGUGGACCUCAUGAGCAAGAAAAUUCAUCUGACUGAGAACGGGAUAAGGGUGGAUAUUGGCGAUACAAUAAUCUAUCUGGUUCAUUAAACUCAUGCACAUUGGAGAUUUAUCCUGGUUUCUUAGGAAUACUACUACUCUGAUUGUGUCUACUGAUUGGCUAUCAGAACCUUAGGCUGGACCUAAAUAGAUUGAUUUCAUUUCUAACUAUCCAAUUCUGCAUGUAAUCAUAAUUCUAUCAAGUCAUCUUUGAUUCCUGGACCUAAUAAAUUCUUUUUCCCCUUC